CACACAGUCACAACCGGUACUCCCUCACCACACAGUUUUCAUAUUUGAAAUUGCUCUACUUUUCAAAUGACUGGCCUCCAUUUGGCUGAGAUGGCCUAAAAAGAAUUUUCAUAAAGUAUCUAUAGAACGUGCACUUUUUAAAUUCCGACCUGUGAUUGGUCGCAGUUGUGGAUCUUAUUUAUAGCAUUUCAUCACAAAAAACAUCCCGCGAUCCCUUGAAAAAUGUUAAUUCAGGUCAGAUCUGAUUCAGUUAAUCUCAAUGAUGGAUAACAGCAGGCUUUCCACGACCCUAGGGUUAGAUCGGGGCAAAUUAUAUGUUUCUGAUUGGACCAAAGUGUCAGUUGGACUUCAGAAGGGCCGGAAUUCAUCAGUACUAUAAGGGCCGUAAGCGAUCAUUUGGCCCGCUGGAUGUAAACCCUGUAAUGUCUCGUGUAAAUACCCAACCAGUGUUGUAUAGUAACGAAGUAAAAAUACUUCGUUACUAUACUUAAGUAGUAUUUUUUUAUAUUUGUACUUUACUUUACUACUUCUAUUUCUGACGACUUUUACUUCACUACAUUUUCCGAAAAAAAAAUCAAUACUUUUACUCCAUUACAUUUACCUGAGCAUCCUCGUUACUCGUUACAAAAUAAGAAGGAACGUGAUAGCCAAUGGACAAUCUUCGUUUUGUUGUAGUGGGACUAGUAGCCAAUGAUGCUGGAGAUACAGACCGCAAGACGUUAUCAUUGGUUUACCCCGUUGUGCGGCGGAUGAAAUCAGCGGCCAGCGGGUACAUUUCAAAUUAAUGGUCGCAUUAUCAUGUCAGUAGUCUCAGACAAGUCGGGUCUCUAAUGUUAUUUGAAGAGAAGGAGGAAGACAGAGAAGCCUAAAAUGUCAGAGAUGGAGGUGACUGAAUCGGCGACUGAACCUGAACCUGCUGCUGAAACAACCAGCAUAGACGACAACGACGAUGACGAUGAACACCCGUGGCCAUACCUGCGGGGAAUGUUCAGCUACAUCGGAGUGAAAGAUUCCUCCUACCGGAUGAAAUGACUGCUGUGCCUUCCUAAAAACAGUGAGAUAUUGGCUUACAAAAACUCUCCAUCCAAUCUUAGGAAACACGUUGAGAGAAAACAUCCAAACCAACUUAAAAAAUAUGAAGAGCUGACAUCAGCAAAAAGAAAGAGGCCUGUAACUGAGACUCCCUCCACCAGCACCAACAGGCAGAUGACCACAUUUCUGACCACCACCUGUUCUGCUGUGUCCCAAAGGUCACUUGAUAAAGCUGUCUUGAAGUAUGUGGUCCAUGGACUCCAGCCCCUCUCUCUGGUUGAACAAGAACCAUUUAUAGAGUUUGUGAAGGAUCUGCUGCCUAAUGCCAGAGCAAAAAUUAUGACAAGAGUGACGCUGGGCUCCAGGAUGGACGAGGCCGCCAAGGAGAUGAAGACAGCGGUGACUGAGGCCAUGAGGGGAGUUGAGUAUAUCGCCACCACCGCUGACUGCUGGUCUGUCCGAAGACGAAGCUUCAUUGGUGUUACUGCCCACUGGAUCGACGCAGACACUCUCAAAUGAUGAUGCUCGGUAGCCCUAGCCUGCAAACAGCUG